UUGAUCCUGGCUCAGGACGAACGCUGGCGGCGUGCCUAAUACAUGCAAGUCGAGCGGACAGAUGGGAGCUUGCUCCCUGAUGUUAGCGGCGGACGGGUGAGUAACACGUGGGUAACCUGCCUGUAAGACUGGGAUAACUCCGGGAAACCGGGGCUAAUACCGGAUGCUUGUUUGAACCGCAUGGUUCAAACAUAAAAGGUGGCUUCGGCUACCACUUACAGAUGGACCCGCGGCGCAUUAGCUAGUUGGUGAGGUAAUGGCUCACCAAGGCAACGAUGCGUAGCCGACCUGAGAGGGUGAUCGGCCACACUGGGACUGAGACACGGCCCAGACUCCUACGGGAGGCAGCAGUAGGGAAUCUUCCGCAAUGGACGAAAGUCUGACGGAGCAACGCCGCGUGAGUGAUGAAGGUUUUCGGAUCGUAAAGCUCUGUUGUUAGGGAAGAACAAGUGCCGUU
rnacentral:rRNA from 1 species